CGUAGGUGUUUCCAAGAUGGCGACCUAACUGCAAACAUUUACUUCCGAAGACGGCGGUUUUCCAACCAGCCUCGACGGGAUGGUUCCGGGCCGGCAGCGGGACAGCAAAGGACGGAGCGCCUCUAAAGAAGGCUAAAACUCCCCAAGGGAGAUUUGACAGCGACGAGGAAAAGCACAAG